rnacentral:rRNA from 1 species
GACGUAGGGCGCGAGCGUUGUCCGGAUUUAUUGGGCGUAAAGCGCGCUAAGGCGGCUGGGCAAGUCGUGUGUGAAAGCUCCAGGCUCAACUUGGAGAGGCCACGCGAUACUGCUCUGGCUAGAGUUCGGUAGGGGAAGGUGGAAUACCUGGUGUAGCGGUGAAAUGCGCAGAUAUCAGGUGGAACACCAGUGGCGAAGGCGGCCUUCUGGGCCGAUACUGACGCUGAUGCGCGAAAGCGUGGGGAGCGAACAGG